GAUGGGAACCCCGAGGCGGGAGGGCCGCCCGCCCGCCCUUAUCAGGAAGGGGUCACGCCUCCAUUCCCAGCCGGGCGUGACACUGGGGGCCAGCCUCUGCACGCGUAGGCCCAGCUCAAGCCCUCCUGGAGGCCGAGGGACUGCCUGGGCGUAACCCAGGGCGGAAUUUGGCCUGGUCGCUGUAAUGAAAAGACACCCAAGAUCACAGCAAAAAGUAAGGCAUUCCAUCUCCCCAACUGAAGAUUCAGUGGUCUAUCCAAUGGCUUAGAGAGCUGUUCAGAUGCAGUCGUACCAGACAACGUGUGCAACAGAAGGAGGAAGAGGUGGCAGCUGGAGGACAUGCAACUGGAGGUCCAGCUAUGCUGCAAGCCAGGACCUGUUUGAGACUCCACCACAGUCCAGUCAGUCCUGGCAGUCGAGCACAGCUGCUGCUGUAGUGGCCUUGAGGGGUUCCCCCUCCACACCUCCUGGAAUGCCUGAGCCAGAUAAGGAGGAGAAAGAAGAGGUCUUGAGAUGACACGUUGAGCAAGAUCCUACAAGCUGGUGCUUCAUCAGAUCACGAGCAGAGGGCCUGGAGGAUGAAUAUUGCAGACUAUAUGGAGAAGGAAAGAGUGGACAUGAGAAAGGCCCAGAAGUUCCAACAGGAAAAGGAGAGGGAGAUUCGCCAGGACAUAAUGGGGUUUUUCCAGCAGCAAACACAGAUGCUGCAGACUCUUGUGGACCUACAAGUUCAACAAUCAUGGGCUCGCCCCCCCUUUGCAAUCCCUGGAUAACUCAAUUUUAGCACCUCCCUACAUCCCCCUCAGUAUUCCAUGUGGCAUCAGGGGUUGCAUCCCUCUCACUCCAUACUGGGAGACAGUUAGGACAACCACAGCUUCACACACGUUGACCGGUGAGAGCCAUGGUUGCUAUAGGGGUGUCCCCAAAAUGGAUGUUUCCCCUUGUUAAGUUCUGUUCCAUGUGCUGCAGAAUGCCUGGUGGUACUGAAAGCAACCAUUUACGGGUUAUUGUACAGUAUGACAACUCAUAGGAUCAGUGACAGUGUAAUAAUCAUAAAUGUACAGUGAGCACCACAAAAUGAAUAGGUGCAUUGACCGUGUUAUAUUCAUAGAUGCACACCAAGCACCACACAAUUGCUAAUAGCCCUCAAAACUGCAGGGCCAGGUAGAUCACAGCCCACCAUAACACAUUACUGUGACUGGCUCUUAAAGUGCUUCUUCAAAGCCUCCCUGAGCCCUAUAGCUUUGCAUUGAGCUUUUCUAAUGCCCUUGUGUCAGGCUGUUUGAACUCAGCAUAUAGCUGCUUCACCUGCGCCCUUCUCCCCUUUGCUUCACAAGAUACUGUGCAGGACACAACUGGUAGCUAUAACCAUUGGGAUAUUUUUUUUCACUGAUAUCCAGUCUUAGGAGUAAACAGUGCCAGUAUCCUUUCAUUCUACCAAAAGUACAUUCAACUGUCAUUCUGCGCCUGCUGAGCUGGUCAUUGAAUCUUUCUUUGGUGCUGUCGUGGCAAGUAUAUGGCUUUAUGAGCCAGGGAAGCAAGGGUAGACUGAGUUCACCAGGAUCACCAUUAUUUCAACAUUGCCAAUGGUAAUACACCGGUUGGAAAAGGAAGUCCUGGCUUGCAGCUUUCUGAACAGUUCUGUGUUCUUAAAGAUGCAAGUAUCAUGCACCUUCCCUGACCAGCCAUUACUGAUGUCACUGAAGCAUCGCCGGUGAUACACCAAUGCUUGCAUAAUCAUAGAAAAGUAGCACUUUUUGUUGACAUACUCUGAGGCAAGUUGGUCCAGUGCCAAAAUAGGAAUACACGUGCUGCCUGUUGCUCCACUGCAGUUCAGAAAACACGUUACUGCAACUCCAUUCACUAUGUCCUGCAUUGCCAAGAGUCACACUGCUGCAUAACAGGAGACUUUUGAUGGCCCCCACAAUGGAUUUUCCACUUCCAGAAUGUUUUCCCACUGACCAGAAUCAAUGCAAAGUUACAAGUUUCCACAGUGCAGUCACCACUCAAUUCUCUAUUGUCAAUGCAGCUCUCAUUCUGGUGUCCCUGAACUGGAGGGCUGGGGUGAGAUCCAGGAAUCUUGGCCUUGUAAGUUGUGCAUCUGAAAGUUUUGCAGCCACUGCUUGUCAGCCAAAACCUGCAUUACAAUGCAACCCCAUCAGUCAGUGCUUGUUUCUGAGGGACAGAAGCGGCACGCCAACAUCUGCAGCUGCUCUGUGAAUGCUACCAACAACCUUGAAUUGGUUUUCACUAUGUUCCAUAACAAUGCUGGAGGAUCAUGCGUCCUGUGUUUGCAAUGCUCACGAGCUUCUGUCAGAGAUGGUGGACAACAAGCAGGGUUACAUGGAUGUGUGAGAUUUUUUUUUUAAAUGAUUGGAUAUGGAUGAUAUUAUGGGAUGGAGAAAGAUGCUUGCUGGGAAGUUAACCUCUAGCUCCCAGUCCCCCUUGCACGUUUCUGCCCCACCAUGCAUUGCCAAAACAUCCUAAAAGACAAUGUGUUGAACAUAGACGAGUUGCACACUGGGAUACCUACCCAUGGUGCAUCAACAAAAGUGCUCCUGGUGAGUAUGCACACCAUCAACACGGGGAGCCAAGUAUACAUGCACACAAGCAGUAAACUAACUGUGGUUGCUUUAUGCCCAUAUAACUUGCAGCAGCAAAAGUUUGUAGUCUAGCCAUGACCUCAGUAUCACUUCAGGAGCCUUGAAUCCAUUUCACUCAUGAAGUGAGAAUAUACACUAAGUAGAUUGGUUAAGUUUAGAGAACAGAUAUGUUGUUUGCCACAGCUAGCCAGAGCCCAGAUAUAGGCUCAAGCUGCAAAAUUCAGGACUGAAUCCAAACUUUUUCAAAGUUAGGGUUGGUUGGGAUCUAGCUCAUAGUCUGAGCCAGCCAUGAAGCUCUGAUUCAGCCACUGAUUUCUCCAAAAUUCAGGGCUAUACUGAUCUGGAGUUUAGACUUGGCCAUAUCUUUACAAUUAACCAUACACAUACAUACACAGUAAUGUAUUUUAUGUAUAUAAUGACACUAUGAAUUAACUGCAUCCUGACUGACUAAGCCAAGCUUUUGGGGGAAGUGCUGUGCCAGCUUUGUUGCUGGAAUCCAUUGAUUUCACCAGUUGGCACAAAUUCCAUAGAUAUAAAUUCUGUCCAAGUGCUGCAUUAUUCAAUCAGCUCCAGUAGGGCUAGACAUUGUUACCUUUAAUCUCUGCAAUGCUGUAGAAUAUCCAUGUUAAUGUUAGUCUCAUUGUAAAAUUUGCUUUUAUUUCAACUGCAAAUUUUCACGGAUUAUACCUACAUAUUGAUCAUGUAGAUUCUGAUUAUCAUGUUAGGAAAGAAUUAGGGGAAAUGAAUGUUGGAUGAGGCUCAUGCAUCUCCCCUAGGGACUCCAGUUGUAGUCUAAUUUCCCAUUCCAAGUUAAAUUAAUUUUAGAGUCUCAGUUUGGUUUUAGGUUAUUUACAGCCCAGUUUUGGCACCCUUACUCAGAGUAAGUAGUACCUUACUUUGCAAGGAGUCCCAUUGAUUUUUAGUAGGACUACUUGCAGAGUAAAUUACUACUAAAUGGGAGUUAAGGUGCCAGAAUGAGGUACCUCUAAUUAUUAGCAGCUCUCCUUACAGAACACACACAAAGUGGGGAGAUUGUAGGAUUGGGGAAUUUCUGCAAUGAUAACAUGAAAAACAUCUAUUAAAGCAGGCUGAUGGUAUAUAUUAAAAAAAAACAAAAACCUUUCAGAGCUGUACAGCUGCAGGACACAACCCAUUUACCAAAAGAGCAAUCCAGGAAGGGUGGGCCUCUGCACAUUUUGUAGCAAACACUUUGAUCUUAACAAAAACAGACCUAAGGGUUUUAAGGGAAGGUCUGGGAUUCCUAUUUAUGCUGGACCAUUCUUAGCAAUCUGGUAUUCACAACUGUAUAAAGUGCUUUGGAAUUUCAAACCAGUCUGUGUCUACAAGCA